rnacentral:misc_RNA from 1 species
AAGUCGUAACAAGGUUUCCGUAGGUGAACCUGCGGAAGGAUCAUUAACACGUUCAACAACGUUUGUUCGAUCAAUCGAUCAACCACACCCAACCGUUGCACCACUCGGCAUAUACUGUCCACGGUAUAUGUCUUCUAUCCAACCACCCUUUUUUCACCCCAUCAUGUUUGACUCACCCUACCAACCCCAAGUGGCCUGAUCCAAUGUGUCAUUUGUCUGCGGUCGAGUUCGUGCUCGCCGAGACGAGACAGUUUGGAUGUCGAAUUCAUGUUCGUCAUCUGACUGACUCGCUCGCGUCGCGUUGAACUUCACCACAGGUGGAUGACCGAACCAUAUGGAUGUUUCCAAAUGAGUUAUCAAAUACAACUCUUAGCAAUGGAUAUCUUGGUUCUC